AGAGACAGCAGUCGCCACGGUAAUACGUAGGUCCCGAGCGUUGUCCGGAUUUAUUGGGCGUAAAGCGAGCGCAGGCGGUUAGAUAAGUCUGAAGUUAAAGGCUGUGGCUUAACCAUAGUACGCUUUGGAAACUGUUUAACUUGAGUGCAAGAGGGGAGAGUGGAAUUCCAUGUGUAGCGGUGAAAUGCGUAGAUAUAUGGAGGAACACCGGUGGCGAAAGCGGCUCUCUGGCUUGUAACUGACGCUGAGGCUCGAAAGCGUGGGGAGCAAACAGGAUUAGAUACCCCAGUAGUCCCUGUCUCUUAUACA
rnacentral:rRNA from 1 species